CCUACGGGAGGCAGCAGUAGGGAAUAUUGCUCAAUGGGGGAAACCCUGAAGCAGCAACGCCGCGUGGAGGAUGACGGUUUUCGGUUUGUUAACUCCUUUUGUUAGAGAAGAUAAUGACGGUAUCUAACGAAUAAGCACCGGCUAACUCCGUGCCAGCAGCCGCGGUAAUACGGAGGGUGCAAGCGUUACUCGGAAUCACUGGGCGUAAAGCGCGCGUAGGCGGGAUAGCAAGUCAGAUGUGAAAUCCUAUGGCUUAACCAUAGAACUGCAUUUGAAACUGUUAGUCUAGAGUAUGGGAGAGGUAGGCGGAAUUCGUGGUGUAGCGGUAAAAUGCGUAGAGAUCACGAAGAAUACUCAUUGCGAAGGCGACCUGCUAGAACAUAACUGACGCUGAUGCGCGAAAGCGUGGGGAGCAAACAGGAUUAGAUACCCUUGUAGUC
rnacentral:rRNA from 1 species